UGAGGAACAUGACCUUCGGCGGGGGAUAGCCGGCCCAACGGCCGGGUAAUACCGCGUACGACCACAUGGGGACAUCCCUGAGUGGUGAAAGCAGCAAUGCGCCGAUGGAGUGCCUCGCGGCCUAUCAGCUAGUUGGUGGGGUAAUGGCUCACCAAGGCAACGACGGGUAGCUGGUCUGAGAGGAUGGCCAGUCACAUUGGGACUGAGACACGGCCCAGACCUNUACCGGGAG
rnacentral:rRNA from 1 species